UUCCUACGGGGCGCAGCAGUGAGGAAUAUUGGUCAAUGGGCGGGAGCCUGAACCAGCCAAGUCGCGUGAGGGAAGACGGUCCUAUGGAUUGUAAACCUCUUUAGGCGGGGAGCAAUGCCGGGCACGCGUGCCCGGAGGGAGAGUACCCGCAGAAUAAGCACCGGCUAACUACGUGCCAGCAGCCGCGGUAAUACGUAGGGUGCAAGCGUUAUCCGGCUUUAUUGGGCGUAAAGGGCUCGUAUGCGGUUCGUCGCGUCCGGUGUGAAAGUCCAU
rnacentral:rRNA from 1 species